UAUGACAGCUUGUGUCAGAUGAAGCCACAUCAACUCAUUCUGAGCACCCCGUUCCUCAAAACAUAAGGAUGAGCAUGAUCAAAAUCUCAAGACAUUUUUCCUAAGUCCUUAAGAUGGAUGAACUUCUACAGGUAAGUAGGUAGAUUAAUAAACAGAGGUAAGGAAUGUUGGCAUGAAGAAGCUCCCUAGGCCGCUGUGUGGCUGAAGCUCUGACUGGUCAUGCUGGUUAAGGAUGCGUCUAAGCAAGAUCGGUCGCUGACAGGUAGGUGUGUAGAAAAUAACCUAUAUGUGGUGGUCCAUUUUCAAUUCUAAGUGCCUUCAUAUAGGUUUAAGCAGGCUAUGUGGAAAUAGAGAAAUAAAGAAGCAGAAAUGUACUGAGUCCCCACCCUGCCCUCCUUCCUGCUUUCCCUUUCACGCAGCGGCCACGUGCCUAUCAGUAGGAGCCCCCUCAACUACCCUCUCCUCACCCCACCAAAGAAUUUAGUUUAGGCUAGCUUGCAACAUAAAUAAUUAUACCCUUUCUUAUCAGCUACGUGCAGCCACCAGGGCCAUAGUCAAAUGUUUGAAGACUCCUGAGACAGUUGCAAUGCAUGGUGGGCUGCAAUAAAAUGCAGCAGAAAGAUCCUAAAGAACAUACUUGAAAUCUUAAUCCAACGACCAAUAGGUGAUGUCCAGGAAGACUGUAACCCCAUUUACUCAGUCAAUGAGGAACUGGGGGAGGGACCUGCGCACUAGGGGAUAAAUUGCUUGUUGAAACUCUGCUGGGGGUGGCUGCAUGCCAGCCAGACACCCAAUCUUGCAAGACUGUCAUUGAAAAUCUCCGUUUUGCUGUUCUCCGGGUCUCUGCGUCCAGUCUUUGGGUUUGGACGGACCUGCCUGGCCAUCUUUCUGCAAGAAGAUAAAGGAAGACCAGGAGUGCCUGCCGAACUCCUAUGGAGGAAGUCUAGGAGAGGAAGGGGACAGGGAGGAAGAUGGUGUCUGCAAACCAGGAAGCAGCCUUGCCAGACACAGGAUUGGCCACAACCUUGACCCCAGACUUCCAGCCUCCAGAACUGUGAGAAAUAAAUGUCCAUAUUGACUAGGGGCACAGGGCAUGGGGGAACUGGUUCCAGACCUGCCUCCUGGGAAGUUGGGAGGGGGCAUUUCAACCUGUUAAUUUCUCAAAUUAUGUAGUCAUUCAAAAAGAAAUAGAAACACUUCAUUAACUUUGUGAUUGCCAAAUUAUUGAUCAAUUCUCAUAGAAAGUUAUAACAUUUCCCCUUUUGGUACAUUUCUGUUAAAAAGAAGGUUGUCUUUCCAGCCUUAUGUUUUGUAGUUUAAUUUGCUCACAUUCAUUAUAAUCCAUUAUUUAAUACAUUUUUCUUCCAUUUGAUCAUAUUACUUGCUGAUAGGAAGGACUGAGUUCAUUUUCAGCGUGUCUGGCUUUUCCAUUUCUGUGGCCUGGGAAGGUGGGUGGCUACAUCAUCAUCCAUGGUCUCUGAAAUAUCCUGUGUUACCAAGGCCUGCUUGUUCCACCAAACUGCUCCAUAGGCAGUUGUGACACCCAGAAAGAUGCUGAUAUGGUUUGGCUGUGUCCCCACCCAAAUCUCAUCUUGAAUUGUAGUUCCCAUAAUCCCCAGGUGUCUGGGAGGGACCCAGUGGGAGGUAAUUGAGACAUGGGGGUGGGUUUUCCCAUGCUGUUCUUGUGAUAGUGAAUAAGUCCCAAGAGAUUCUGAUGGUUUUAUAAACAGGAAUUUCCCUGCACAGGCUCUCUUGCCUGCCACCAUGUAAGACCUGCCUCUGCUCCUCCUUCACCUUCCGCCAUGAUUGUGAGGCCACCCCAGCCAUGUGGAACUGUGAGUCUAUUAAACCUCUUUUUCUUUAUACAUUACUCAGUCUCAGGUAUUUCUUCACAGCAUUAUGAAAAUGGACUAAUACAGAUGCAGCUAGCAUGAGGGAACUGUCCUUGCCAACUUGGAGUUGUUCUCAGAAACUGCAGUAACUCAAUAUUGGGAACAGAAAUGCACUACCCUAAGGUCAGGGAUUUUAGGAUACAGUCCCGAAGCUUCUGUUGCCUUCAAUGCCUUCACUGACGUGGGAUUUAGGGAUUCAGAGUCCUGAAGCUUCUGUUGCCCGGGUAAGCCCUCAGUGCCUUCACUGACAUGCACAGAGCUGCUCUUUCUGUGAAUGGAUGCUAUCCCAACCAGGAGGCCUGGAAACUGCAGCUUUGCGAUUUUGAAUUUACGGAAGGAGUCCUUGGUGACCCUCACAAUCUGGAGGCCGAGAGUCCAAGGUCAAGCAGCUGGUUCCUCUGGAGGCUCCAUGGAAGAAGCCCUUCCAUGCUGGUUUUCUUCCUCUGGUGUUCCUGGCAACCCUUGGUGUUCCUUGCCAGGUGAAUGAAUCACCCACCUUUGCCUCCGUCUGUCCAUGGUGUUAUCCCUGUGUCUCUGCCCAAAUCUCUCUCUCCUUAUGAGGACACCGAAUGGAUGAGCUCAUUUCAACUUGAUCACAUGUGCAAAGACCCUAUUUCCAAAUGAGGUCACAUUUUCAGGUGUGAGGGUUAGAACUUCAACUAUCUUUUUGGGGGACACAGCACCAUCCACAGCCGUGAGGACAUUGGACAAAGCCCAACUUGGACCUGACUCGGGUCGGGGGGGGAGGGGCACAGGGAGAUUUGCCUUUUUCCUGUUUUGCCAUUUUCCACGUAACUCGUAUUUGCUACUUUAGAGGAACCAUUUAUGGAAAACUACAGGAUAAAGGAAAAACAAAUGGUGGAGGAAAGGAAAUCUGUCAGCAAUCAGAGAGAUUGUUAAUUUCCUUGAUGAGGAGCCAAUUGGUUGAAGGGUGCCUGUAAUUUACAACUUCAGUCUUGGGGAAAAUGUGCACAGUUAUUUUUUGGUCUCCAUGAAGGAAACGUUUAGACGGGCACUCAUGGGGCUGAUUACCGAUUCAGAGGAACAUGCAGGGGGCAUCCACCCUCCAGGCGUGGGAAGAGAGAAGCACAUGCUUCCGGGAGGCCGAGGCUGAGCCGGGCUUAGGAGUGUCCUCUCCAGGUACUAAGUUAAUUUUAUGGGAGCUGAAGCCUCACUGCUUCUCGGAGCCUGGGGAGUUGGGAGCACUGGCCCCGGGCUCUGUGUGGCCUGGAACUGCCACUGCAGCUUGGAAUUCUCGGGCUCAGCUAUGGCAGCCUGUGCCCUUCUCCAGGCAUGGUUUGGGCCGUGUCCCUGGAACAGCAGCUGAGGUCCUAGUGCCAGCCCCAUCACAGACGGCAGGGGACCUGAGACAGACAUGGCCCCCUCUGCCCAGGCCCCCUUGCUGGAAAGGCAGAGGCACAUCUGACCUCUGGGGACCUCACUCUCACCUCGGAGGAUGUUUUAGGCCAUGCUGUGUGUUGCCAUCUUUGGGAAAAACUAGUUUAAUGAAGGAGUCAUGAAUUUGGCGAGGGGCCGCCUCUGCUGAUGGUGUUUCCUGAGUCCCUGCCCUUCACUGGGGCACGAGGGCUGAUCCCCCUCCUGCCGUCAUUUAUGGACUGAAUAACCACAGAGAGUGUGAGGCCGGCGGAAACUUGGCAGUGCCUGUUUGUCAUUGUCAGUUUCAAAUACUUUUUAAUUUUGAAUAGUUGUAGAUUUUCAGAAGGGUUAUGAAGAUCGUGCAGGCAGUUUCUGCAAGCUGCUGCUAAUUUCCCUCGGCUUCCACGUCUUUGCUGCCAUGGUCCACCUGCAGCAGCCAAGAGAGCCGCGUUGCAUCGCCACGAGCUAAACUCCAGCCUUCGGAUUUCAGAGCUUCCAUCCGUGUCCUCUCUCUGCUGUGACCCCACCUGGGGUGCCACGUCGUGUCUGAUCCUCCUGUGUCCUUGGCUUCUCUGGUCUGUGACAUUUCCGUCUCUCCUUUGCCACGACCCUGGCAGUGUGGAGGAGCCUGUUGGGCACCCUGUGGAUGCCCCUCAGUCUGGGUUCAUCUGUCCUUUUCCUCAUGGUUAGCCUGAGGUGGUGGGCUUCCGCAAAUAAUACCAAGGAGGUGAAAUGUUCUUCUCCUCACGGCCUCUCAGGGGCAUAGAACAUCCUCUUGACUUCACAGGUGGCGUUAACCCAAUCGCUUGUGUGAAAAUAACGCAUUGGGAGGCACUAGGCUGAGGGCUUCAGUACCUCAGAAGCAAACCCGGUUCCUGCACACAGAAACCCCAUUCAGGGUAAGGGGUCCUGUCCUAGGAAAGAAAAUUCAAGUUUAAACAGAAACUGCCAGCUAACCUCAAAACAGAGGCUUUACGACUGCUGUUUCACUUUAAUCAAUCCUUUUUUUGUUCUUCCUUCCAAGAACACUUGAGAAAGGUUUUUUCCCUCGUGCUCCUUGGUAGAGCCCAAACUGCUGUAGUUCGGUGCUGCCCAGCUCAUGGAUUCCUGUCUCCUCAAAUAACUCUUUACACUUUCACGUGCCUACGUUUAUCUUUCAACACUUGGAUCAGGUGGCGUCCACCAGGUGUCUUCGCUGUAAAGUCACUGUCUUCCCUUCCACCGCUCCACUCUUUGGGAUGAGUCACGAAGCCUGUGCUACCUUCAGGGGAGGGCUGGGGAAGAGUUAAACUCCAUCUCCUGGAGGGGCUGCUACAUAUGAUCAUAUGAUGUUAUUUGGAGUAAGAAAGAUUUGCCUCUUCUCCACAUUUACUUGUUUAUUCAAUUAUUUAUACCAGUAUGGGCUCAUGAAUAUUUACUUUAUAUUUUUUAUUAUAAUUCAAUCAUCCAAUAUAUUAUUUCUUUUGUUGUUCAAAUUUUUCCAUCUUUGGCCAUUGGCAGCCCUUUCACGUUGGCAUCUGUGUCCGUUGGACAAUCCCCCAUCCUUUUGUUUUUUUGAAAAUUUCCUUACUUUUUGAUAUCAUGAGAUACUCCAGGCUCAUCUUGUCUUCUCUCUGAUCCACCCUAGAAUCAGCCGUGGUUCCCCUCAUUGGAGAAUGAUAUUUAGAAACAAAAACCUGGGUGCUGGGUGUGCUCAGUGGGACGAGGGUGUCACUGCCUCCAGCCCUGUCAGUGAAGAGAGCUGCGUAAUGUGCAUGCAGAUAAUACCCUAUGUGUGAACACAUACUUCAGAUUAUCUCUGGAUCUGUCCAUCCUUAUAUCGAUGCAAAGCUAAACAUGAGUUCACACUGAUGUCUCUGAUUCUGAUCUAGUACCACAGGGUUCAGUCUAAACUUCCUCUUAUUUACAAAUAACCUUCCCCUCCGACACAAGAAGCCUGCCUCCCAUGGUUUGCCAUCCGUUGACUUAUCUGUUCAAUCCCAGUGUAUGUGAAUUGUUAACUUGUACCCCUGUGGGAAAUUUACCAACAAAGGAAUGAUAUUAAUGUCCUUUUGUCUUUAGCUUUACAAUUUCCACUCAAAACAUCAUAUUCUGAAGUUACUCAGGUCAGCUUCCUGUUUCUUUAAGUUCGCCCUCAUUACUGUCCGCGCUUUGUGAUGUGCAGUCAUGUGUUACCACCCCAGUGCCAGAAAGAAGAGCUCCUCGUGUGUCCGCCGAUGACCAAGCACUCCUCUCCCCAGCCCCUGGCAACUGCUAGUCCAAGCAUGUGCAACCCACAGCCCGUGGGCUGCAUGCGGCCCAGGAUGGCUUUGAAUGUGGCCCAACACAAAUUCGUAAACUUUCUUAACACCUUAUGAGAUUUUAUGCAUGGACUUUUUUUGCUCAAGAGCUAUUGUUAGUGUUAGUAUAUUUUAUGUGUGGCCCAAGGCACAAUUCUUCUUCCAGUGUGGCCCAGGGAAGCCAAAAGAUUGGACACCCCGGCCCUAGUCUGUUCAUUCCUAUAGUUUUAAUUUUUCCAAAGUAUCAUAUGAAUGGAAUCAUGUGAUAUGUAGCCCAUGAAUCAUGUAUAUGGGUUUUUCACUUAGUAGAGCACAUUUAAGAUUCAUCAUUGUUGCUAUGUGAAUCAAUAGCUGGUUCCUUUUAUCUCUCCACAGCUCCCACUGCACUGAGAAGCACGUGUUCUCCAUUUCCCUGGGGGAGACCAUUGUAUUGGGCAGUUUGGAACAAAACACCAUGGACUGGGAGGCUUACACAACAGAAAUUUAUUUCUUGCUGUUCUAGAGGCUGGGAAGCUCAAGGUGCUGGCUGCAUAUUCAUUCUGAGGCCUCUUCUGAUGUGCAGACAGCUGCCUUCUGACUUGUGCUCACAUUGGAGAGAGGGAGUCAGCUUUGGUGUCUCUUCUUGUAAGGACACUAACCCCAUUCACAAGGGCCCCACCCUCAUGACCUAAUCACCCCCAAAGGUCCUGUCUCCAGACAUAUCACAUGGGGCAGAGCUUCAACGUACCAAUUCUGGGGCGUCACAAACCCUCCGUCCAUAGCAGACAUCUUGGUUGCUCCCAGUUUUUAGAGAUUAAGAAUAAAACAACUGUAAAUAUUUACAUGCAGGUUUUUGUGUGAACAAGUUUUCAUGCCAGCUGGGUAAAUAGCUAGGGCUGUGAUGGCCAGAUCCUGUGGUAAGAUUCUGUUCCACAUUCUAAGAAACUGCCCAACUGUCUUCCACAGUGGCUGUGCCAUUUUGCAGUUCUGACAGCAAUUCUGUAGCUCCACAACCUCAUCAGCACUGGGUGGUGGUGCUUGAAUUUUGCAUUUUAGCCAUUCUAAUUGGUGUGGGUAGUAGUUCUCAUUUGGGGUUCAAUUUGCUUUU